ACUGCCACAUCACGUAGAAAACAUCGGUUCCCGUACGAUCAGCGAUGUUAAGCAACGUCGAGCCUAGUCAGUUCCUAGAUGGAUGACCGCUUGGGAAUACU